UGGUCAAGUUAUUAAGGGUGCAGGGCGGAUGCCUUGGCACUAGGAGCCGAUGAAGGACGUGAUAAGCUGCGAUAAGCUUCGGGGAGUUGCACGUAAACUUUGAUCCGAAGAUUUCCGAAUGAGGAAACUCACUUAGAGUAAUGUCUAAGUAUCAUUAAGUGAAUACAUAGCUUAAUGAGGGGAACUCAGGGAACUGAAACAUCUAAGUACCUGAAGGAAGAGAAAGAAAUUCGAUUCCGUAAGUAGCGGCGAGCGAACGCGGAUUAGCCCAAACCAAUAAAGUUUUCUUUAUUGGGGUUGCGGACAUAUCAUAACGAAGAGGUAUCGUAAUUGAAGAGGUUUGGAAAGACCCACCACAGAAGGUAAUAGUCCUGUAUGUUAAACGAGAAGACUUCAGAUAUGAUCCAGAGUACCACGGGACACGUGAAACCCUGUGGGAAGCAGGAGGGACCACCCUCCAAGGCUAAAUACUACCUAGU
rnacentral:rRNA from 1 species